GCGAAGAACACCUCAAUCGGACAUCCGACCAGAAAGUUAUUGCAGUUUUACUAUAGCAGUUUUUCAGUCUCAUAAUUCUGUGCAGAAUCUGUUCUCUUAAGAUUUAGGCAAUUUUAUCAACAGAAUUAAACUGUGGGUUGGUAAAAGAAGUUGUAGAUAAUUUUAUAAGCUUUCCAGAUUGUUAAAGAGUGCAUUCAUAUGAUUUGUGAAACUCCAGUUAUGUUUGUUUUACUGUGGCUGUUCCUGUUUACCUGACAAAAAUGAGUGGGUUUGUUCACUGGUGGGUUUCAUCUAGUAAAUGGCCGAAUUGGCUCUUCCAACUAUGAAGACUUUUGUAGAGGGAUAAAAGUUCUUACUUCCAGCAGAAUUGCAUAAUUUUUGGUUCAGCAGUUUUGAAGAUAUCGAAUUUUAAAGUUAACCAUACUGCUGUCUAAAACAGAUUCAGUCCGUUAUCUUGUCAGAUGUUUUAGAACUUGUAGAUGGCAGAAUUUAAUUAUCUAUUGAAUACUGAAGUUGUAGAGUAUUUUGUGUAGAUACUCCUAGAGUAUUUGUUUGAUAUCACCGCUGUUUUAAUUUUAAAGAUACAAAAUUAACAAACAGCGUUGCUGCUGUAUGACAUGUGGUUCAGGGUGGGAGUCUUUCCACUGGGUCUUGGUUUCAAGUGUAGGAGUGUUUUGUUGAUUGAUGGCAAAUGUUUGUGAAAUAUUUGUACUAAGUUUUAUGCCCACUAGCAGGUGGCUACACUCCAGAUCAUGUCUAGUACAUUUCUUCUUCUUCGAUGAAGGCAAGUGAAUGUAGCGGUGGUUGCUUCCGUUCUGACCUGUUAUUUCUAUCGCCUACACUCUAAUAUUCAGAAGUAUCAGAUUCUUUCAUAAUUGGACUCUAUGGUGAUGCUUUACUUGCUUGCAUUAUACUGAUGCUCAAUCAUAUAUUGAUGAUGAUUAUGAUUUGAGUAUGACUCAUGAGAUUAAUUCACACCCCUGAAGGUAAAUGAAGUAUUAUUUGAGGUUGGUAUUGUAUCUGAAGGUAAAUGAAGUAUUAUUUGAGGUUUGUGUUGUAUCUGAAGGAAGUGAAGUUUAUUGAUAAAUGUAGCAUGCCAUAUACAUUGCAUGACUCAUUUGCAUAUGAAGUUUUGUCGUGACCUAUGGUCCGACCGUACCGGUACAACUUAGCAUCGUACGUUGCCCGAGAAGGGGUACGAUGCGGCUUCAUACCCUUAGAGGUAUGAAGGCAGAGGACAUAUGCAUUGCAUUCAUAUGCAUUCAUUGAAGUGAUAUUUGCAGAUGAUGUGGUUUUAUACCCCCAGAGGUAUGAAGAUAGAGUACCUACACAUUGCAUUCCUAUGCAUACAUUGAAGUGAUAUUUGCAGGUAUUGUUGACGCAGGGAAGUGUUAUAGAACCUAUUGUGGUUGUUCGAGGAAAUGAGAUGGUAUUGGUUAUAGUGGGACUACUGAGUUCUAUAUCUACAAGCAUUUCUGAUUUUUAAUUGUGACUCUUUUAAAAUGUUGAUGAAUUCAAUUUGUGGUUUAAAUAUCUCGUCAGAACAAUUAGCUUGCUGAGAUGUUUCAUCUCACUCUUGCAUUACUCAAUGCAGGUGCUUGUUGCUCAUCAAGGGGAGUGGGAAGUAGCAGCACAUCCACCUUCAUUCUCAUAAUAAUGCUGCCCAGACGCAGCCAUGAUUUAAUUAGAAACUUCUUGUCAAAGGAUGUUUGUUUUUAACUAGUCGUGCGCACUGAUUAAUUCAGUUCAUGUUGUUAUGGUUGUCUUCCCAUUGCUAGCAGAUUAUUAAUGUCUUAUAUGUUUUCUUAUCAUGAUAUCUAUUUAUACUUUGUUGCUUCCCCCAUUUAUGCAAUUUUCAAAGGAGAUGCUGUCGAAAUUUUAUAUAUGAAUAUUAGAUGUGUAGUUUAGUAGCAUUCUGGGGUGUUUGUGGAUCCCGGGGUGUUACAGUUGGUAUCAGAGCUAGGCUUUAGAUUCUUGGCAAUUUGAAGAUAAAUUUGACACACUUGCACAUAUAGGAAGGGUAUGGGUUCAAAUAUCUUUGAUAUAUAUUAAUGUCUUUGGAGUGCAGAUGACAAUAGUUUCACCCCUCCCUAUUCCUUUACGGUGAUGUGGUAAGUUGUUUAUGGCUUAAUGCUUGAUAUAAUUUAUUUCUGAAAUUUUGAUAUUGUUUUAUUAAUGCGGUAGAUAUCGCUGGUCAUUGGUGAGAAUGAAGUUGUUAUUAUGCUUGUGAUAUACAAGUAUGCCUAUGUUGUUUUCACCAUGUUUUUCAUGGUUGAGUUUUAUUACAAUAAUAUUGUUAUAUAUGCUUGAUUGUGGAUGUUUCUAAGAGGAGUGUGAAUUGCGUGUUUUGGGGUACAAGGUAAUCAUCAAUUUGAAUUUAAGUUGUUGAGCGGUUGGUGGAUAGCUCCAACUAUCAUUGCAAAAAAAAUUGUUUAUGUUGAGAAACCAGUUUUGAAAGAAAUGAAUAUUGGUACUUUAUAUGGAUUUUUGGGGGAAGUCUUUUCAUAGCCAGAAUGGCUUAUAUGUCUCUCUCAUAUUGUGUGUUUUAGUUGCCACAAAGCCUAGAUGUGGUUUAAAGUGGUUGCCUGUUAGUCAUACUAAUUGUAGAAUAAAUCUUUGAUUCUCUUGAUCCAUUGAUUAUGUAUUGAUACAUUGAGGAUCUGAUGGUUCCCUUUUCGAUGCAUGCUUGUGGAGCCAUUUUUUUUAGACCACCUAUCUAUUGGUUUGAAGGAAGUCCUUGCCUAGCCUAGAGUUGGUUGGGUGUGGCUAGUCACCUAUUCCUAGAUCAUGUGGUGUUUACAUCAGCUUAAUAUGUUUGUCAAAUGUGUGAAGGAUUAGGGGUUAUUAUUAUUGACUUUGUAUGUCUGGUACUUUGAGUGCAUCGUAUGAUAGAAUGAAAUGUAGGUUUCUGAACUACAGUAGAUGAAGACUUAUAUUAUGUGUAGGUUAUCCUUACUAGUUGGAUAUUUUUCUUAGUUGAGAUGUUGAAUGAAGUAUAGUGACAUGGGUUAAGCAAGUAUUGUGUUGUUGUUGGGCUAUCAUUGCUCUAUGUAGAGUUUUUGGCAUUUCUUCGAUGAACUAUGCCGCACAAGAUGUUAUUGGCUUCUUUUGGCUUUAUUGCUCCAUUAGUUCUAUAGAUUUUCUCCCUUUUGGUGGGGUGCAAGGAAUGUUAGAUUACAUGAUUAUCUUUUCAUGAUGGCAAGAAUAAGGUUUAGGAAGAUUAGGAGUUUUGUUCCAAUAGAACUACUUGUUUCAUAGUGCUUUAAGGUGAGGUGUUUGAUCUUCUUAUACAUUCGUCGGGUGUAGAUGUUUCACCAUUUAAUUAAAAUUAAUGGUUGAAGUUGGUAAGGGUUGUGCUUGGUGCAUAUUACCCCUUCAUAAAAGAGUGUUGUCUUAAGACAUUGAUGUUGAUGUAUAGCUGCAUCCAAAUUUGAUGGUGUGAAAUUGGAGUGUUGAUUGCAACUAUGACAUGCUUUGAGCUUCAUUACAUGUUGUUUCAUGCUUGAUGUCAGGUCGUGUAGUUUCCUUAGACAAUUAGUCCAAGGUAGAAGUUCUUGUGUUAAUUAAGACCAAUAAUGGACCCAUGUUUUGAAUUGUGGUGCUAUAUGGGGUACCUUGGGUGUUUUGCUUGGAGUGGCCGAAUUCGAGGUCGAAUUCUUUUUAAGGGGGGUAGAGUGUAAUAUCCCAAAAAAAUGUUGACCAAAAGUUAAUCUCUGGUGCGUGGAUGAGGUAAAGGGUUGUGGGCCAUUGGAUGCAAAGAUAGAAGUCAUCUGAGGCGUCGUUUCUUUCUCCCACAAAAACCCUAGGUGGCCACCCCUUUUUUUUCCCUUCACCCCCCCUCUUGGUGGCCACCCCCUUUUUCUCCCCCUUGGCUGGACGCCCCCUCCCCCUAUGGCAGCCAUCCUCCAUUGCUUCCUCCCCCAAGAUCUCCCCCUACGCAGCAAGGAUCGAGAAAAGGAGGGGCACGUUGAAUUGAAGAGGAAGAGAGGAUCAAGGAGAUGUUCUUCCCCAUCUCCUCUUGAAGAUUUCUUGGGGAAACCCUAGGUAUGGAUGAGAUCCUUGUUCCUCCCUGUAAUUAUAGGCUUUUGGAGGUUGUGGAUCAUGGGAAUUAAAGGAUUAGAGGUUGGAUUUGAUGUGGGGUUAGGUUUUGAUCUCGAAUUUAGUUUUCUGCAGAAUGGCAGAUUCGACAGUUUCUGUUCAUGCCAGUUUUCCGUGGUCUUAGUGGCCUCAAAAAAAUAAAAAGUCUAUGUAUGAGUCGUAGAUAAUUUGUAGAUCUUUCCGUGGCCGCGAAGAACACCUCAAUCGGACAUCCGACCAGAAAGUUAUUGCAGUUUUACUAUAGCAGUUUUUCAGUCUCAUAAUUCUGUGCAGAAUCUGUUCUCUUAAGAUUUAGGCAAUUUUAUCAACAGAAUUAAACUGUGGGUUGGUAAAAGAAGUUGUAGAUAAUUUUAUAAGCUUUCCAGAUUGUUAAAGAGUGCAUUCAUAUGAUUUGUGAAACUCCAGUUAUGUUUGUUUUACUGUGGCUGUUCCUGUUUACCUGACAAAAAUGAGUGGGUUUGUUCACUGGUGGGUUUCAUCUAGUAAAUGGCCGAAUUGGCUCUUUCAACUAUGAAGACUUUUGUAGAGGGAUAAAAGUUCUUACUUCCAGCAGAAUUGCAUAAUUUUUGGUUCAGCAGUUUUGAAGAUAUCGAAUUUUAAAGUUAACCAUACUGCUGUCUAAAACAGAUUCAGUCCGUUAUCUUGUCAGAUGUUUUAGAACUUGUAGAUGGCAGAAUUUAAUUAUCUAUUGAAUACUGAAGUUGUAGAGUAUUUUGUGUAGAUACUCCUAGAGUAUUUGUUUGAUAUCACCGCUGUUUUAAUUUUAAAGAUACAAAAUUAACAAACAGCGUUGCUGCUGUAUGACAUGUGGUUCAGGGUGGGAGUCUUUCCACUGGGUCUUGGUUUCAAGUGUAGGAGUGUUUUGUUGAUUGAUGGCAAAUGUUUGUGAAAUAUUUGUACUAAGUUUUAUGCCCACUAGCAGGUGGCUACACUCCAGAUCAUGUCUAGUACAUUUCUUCUUCUUCGAUGAAGGCAAGUGAAUGUAGCGGUGGUUGCUUCCGUUCUGACCUGUUAUUUCUAUCGCCUACACUCUAAUAUUCAGAAGUAUCAGAUUCUUUCAUAAUUGGAC
rnacentral:lncRNA from 1 species